GUCAUAUGCUUCGUUCAAGGGCUAAGCCAUGCACGUGUGAGAGCAAGUUGCCACUGCUGCCCAACCUGUCUGCGAAUGGCUCAUUAGACCAGCACUGAUCUCAGCAGGGAGUGCGCGUUCGCUAUCUGAGAUGGUGAAAGUGAGGCUGCCGAGCCGCGCCCCUUCGGGGUAGCCAGGCUUGCCCGUCCCUUAGCCCCAAGGCGACUCCCAUGUGGGCUUUUGAAGAGGGGGACAAGCUGGUAGGUUCGCGUUCCUCAGAACACCCUCUCUUUCUGAAACAGAAGGCUAAUGCAUGUGGUUGCUACGUCCUGUGCAUUCCUUCUGGAAUGCCACGGGAUCCACCGGGCUGAGACAAAGAAGGAGUGUGCCGCCCUAACAAGGGCAGGCCCUUCAGGUGGAAGCAAGCCUUCUGCGGAGGAUCGAGAGGGGGUUGCCGACCGGGGAAAAGGUCACUUCACGAAGGGUGUCCUCGACUCCGGACUGGUCUUUCCCUCUCAGAUAGCGAUGCCACUGUGCGCCAAAUGCACCAGUAGGGAACUGCGAUACCUACUACCCUGCCCGAGAUUCUGCCCUAUCAGCCAUGACGGUGGUGCAAAGGACCACGGUGGCCGUUACGGGUAACGCGGAAUGAGGGUUCGAUUCCGGAGAAGCAGCCUGAAAAACGGCUACUACGACCAAGGUUGGCAGCAGGCGCGCAACUUGCUCAAUAUCGGUGUGCAUUGGUGAAGCAGUGACGAGAAGUGCGACCAAUCAGCCGGACUAUUGUUCGGGAUUGGUGGAAUGAAUGAGGACCCAAGGAAUGCAGUGAGCAUCCACUUGUGGGCAAGUCUGGUGCCAGCAGCCGCGGUAAUUCCAGCACAAGUGGCCUACUUUGACGUUGUUGCCGUUAAAAAGCUCGUAGUUUGUUGGCAUCCGAGACCUGCCCCGGAUACCUCCUGGCUUCUGCCGGGUAAGGCUGAAACGGGCAACUUGCGGUGCCACCCCUACCUUGGCCUCCUGCUUUCUCCCCACGGCUUUACCGUUCUACGGGUUUCCCUGGGCUGCAAAGUCCAGAAAGCCUGCCGGGAGUCUGCUAGAGUGCUUGGGUUUGGGGGCUUCUCAGUGGGAGCGAUUUUCCGAAGAUAGAGGGCGAGGAGGCGGCCUCACUCCCAGACCUUCCCGUGUCAACACUUCGAGUUGCUAGGGUCGGUUACCUGGCUCGGGCGAGGUGCAGCUCUCCAACCUCUCUGCGCAGUUUUCUGCGAAUGGCCUACAUCCUGAAACUCGGCCGAGUGGCCCAUGGGGAUUCUCAGCACGAAGGUCAUACGGACUUUCAAUGGGGAUUCCCUGUGUGGUCAAGGAGAUGCCCACUGGGCUUGUACCAUGAGUAAAGCUAAGCGCUUCACGCAGUAGUCCUUCCUGUGCCGAUCGGAUGUCCAAGCGUGGCAUGACAAGGGACCGGUCCUCUGGACCCCAUGUUCUGGUAUUCUUUACUGGCCUAUCUUGGACGAACUUCGCUUCCCACGCGAAGUCUCCUACGGGUUGACCCCUGGUUUGUAAGCGCGGUGUGUUAUGCAGGCCUUGGUAGCUUCUGCUUCCAAGGCGCUGAUCACCGCGUGCCUCGGCGAUCCCAUGGAGACGGAGCCGGGAACGAGGUGUUGACGGAGGUCGUUUCGGUGCUCAGGGGACUGCGCGGCGAGCGGUGAAACGCUUUGACCCGUGUCAGGACCACCAAAGGCGAAAGCACUGAGCGGGACUCGACCUGCCAAUCAAGAGCGAGUGUGCGGUGAUCGAAGAGGAUCAGAUACCCUCGUAGUCCGCGCUGUAAACCGUGCCUACCGAGGAUAGGGGCAGCGUUCCUUCGGAAUGUCUACCCCUGUCCUUCCCCCGCAACGAGAAAUCCAAGUGUAUGGGUUCAGGGGGGAGUACGGUUGCAAGACUGAAACUUAAAGGAAUUGACGGAAUGGCACCACAAGGCGUGGAGUGUGCGGCUUAAUUUGACUCAACACGGGGAACGUUACCUGGAUAGCGCGUGGAAAGGAUAUGACAGGCUGAAUCACUUUCGUGAUAACUCGGGAAGUGGUGCAUGGUCGUUCUUGGUUGGUGAAGCGAUUUGUCUGGUUGAUUCCGAUAACGAGCGAGGUCUUCGCCUUCCAGUAGCCAGCGCUCUCACCAGUAGGGGACUUUGGUUGGAAUUCCUUCGGGGAUCUCCGGACCAACCCUGAGAGUAGCGCGCGGUUGCUUCUCAGUGGGCUCAGGUACUUCGUCUUCGACUAAGUACCUACAGCCGGAAGCCGACAGCAGGUCUGUGAUGCCCUUAGAUGCCCUGGGCUGCACGCGCACGACAAUGGUGUUGUGAGCGUGUGGAAAAUCCCCAGUGGCAUGGCUUAGCGAAAGGUCUUGGGAUUCGUCUCUCGGCCGGCCGCUUUGCCGCUCCACCGCUAUGCAGGAGUUCCCGUGGUUUGACGAUGAAUCGGGAAAUCCCAAAGCUCUCAUGGACGUGAGAUGGGAUCGGUGCUUGCCACUGUUCGCCUUCAACGAGGAAUGCCCAGUAAGUGCAGGUCAUCAGCCUGCGCUGACUGCGUCCCUGCCAUUUGUACACACCGCCCGUCGUUGCUACCGAUGGCGCUGGGAUAAAGGCCCGAGGAGGCUAGUAGAGAGGGCAGACUUGUCUCCCUCUCGAACGAAGAAUUCGGCCGAUAUCUCAUUGCUGGAGGAAGCAAAAGUCGUAACAAGGUAGCUGUAGGUGA
rnacentral:rRNA from 1 species